CAACGCGAAGAACCUUACCUGGUCUUGACAUCCACGGAAGUUUUCAGAGAUGAGAAUGUGCCUUCGGGAACCGUGAGACAGGUGCUGCAUGGCUGUCGUCAGCUCGUGUUGUGAAAUGUUGGGUUAAGUCCCGCAACGAGCGCAACCCUUAUCCUUUGUUGCCAGCGGUCCGGCCGGGAACUCAAAGGAGACUGCCAGUGAUAAACUGGAGGAAGGUGGGGAUGACGUCAAGUCAUCAUGGCCCUUACGACCAGGGCUACACACGUGCUACAAUGGCGCAUACAAAGAGAAGCGACCUCGCGAGAGCAAGCGGACCUCAUAAAGUGCGUCGUAGUCCGGAUUGGAGUCUGUAACUCGACUCCAUGAAGUCGGAAUCGCUAGUAAUCGUGGAUCAGAAUGCCACGGUGAAUACGUUCCCGGGCCUUGUACACAC
rnacentral:rRNA from 1 species